AGACAGAGGGUGCAAGCGUUAAUCGGAAUUACUGGGCGUAAAGCGCACGCAGGCGGUUAAUCAAGUCGGAUGUGAAAGCCCCGGGCUCAACCUGGGUCGGUCAUUCGAAACUGGUUAACUAGAGUUGGAUAGAGGAAAGUAGAAUUUCCGGUGUAGCGGUGAAAUGCGUAGAGAUCGGAAGGAAUAUCAGUGGCGAAGGCGGCUUUCUGGAUCCAAACUGACGCUCAUGUGCGAAAGCGUGGGGAGCAAACAGGAUUAGAUACCCCAGUAGUCC
rnacentral:rRNA from 1 species